CCUACGGGAGGCAGCAGUGGGGAAUAUUGCGCAAUGGUCGAAAGACUGACGCAGCGACGCCGCGUGGAGGAUGACGCCCUUCGGGGUGUAAACUCCUGUUGCUCGGGACGAACCGUGGAAUUCAUUCCACCUGACGGUACCGAGUGAGGAAGCACCGGCUAACUCUGUGCCAGCAGCCGCGGUAAUACAGAGGGUGCGAGCGUUGUCCGGAAUCACUGGGCGUAAAGGGCGCGUAGGCGGUUCGACAAGCGUGCGGUGAAAGCUCGGGGCUCAACCCCGAGUCGGCCGUGCGAACUGUCGGACUUGAGCACAGUAGAGGCAGAUGGAAUUCCGGGUGUAGCGGUGGAAUGCGUAGAGAUCCGGAAGAACACCGGUGGCGAAGGCGGUCUGCUGGGCUGUGGCUGACGCUGAUGCGCGACAGCGUGGGGAGCAAACAGGAU
rnacentral:rRNA from 1 species